rnacentral:rRNA from 1 species
GAUGAACGCUAGCUACAGGCUUAACACAUGCAAGUCGAGGGGAAACGAUAGAGAAAGCUUGCUUUUGAUGGGCGUCGACCGGCGCACGGGUGAGUAACGCGUAUCCAACCUGCCCACCACUUGGGGAUAACCUUGCGAAAGUAAGACUAAUACCCAAUGACGUCUCUAGAAGACAUCUGAAAGAGAUUAAAGAUUUAUCGGUGAUGGAUGGGGAUGCGUCUGAUUAGCUUGUUGGCGGGGUAACGGCCCACCAAGGCGACGAUCAGUAGGGGUUCUGAGAGGAAGGUCCCCCACAUUGGAACUGAGACACGGUCCAAACUCCUACGGGAGGCAGCAGUGAGGAAUAUUGGUCAAUGGGCGAGAGCCUGAACCAGCCAAGUAGCGUGCAGGAUGACGGCCCUAUGGGUUGUAAACUGCUUUUAUAAGGGAAUAAAGUGAGUCUCGUGAGACUUUUUGCAUGUACCUUAUGAAUAAGGACCGGCUAAUUCCGUGCCAGCCGCCGCGGUAA